rnacentral:tRNA from 1 species
GCGGGGGUAUCCAAGUUUGGAUAAGGAGCUUGCCUUGGAAGCAAGCGGUCGUGGACCUCGCGGGCUCAAAUCCCGCCCCCCGCG